rnacentral:rRNA from 2 species
GAGGAAUAUUGGUCAAUGGGUGCAAGCCUGAACCAGCCAUCCCGCGUGAAGGACGACUGCCCUAUGGGUUGUAAACUUCUUUUGUAUAGGGAUAAACCUACCCUCGUGAGGGUAGCUGAAGGUACUAUACGAAUAAGCACCGGCUAACUCCGUGCCAGCAGCCGCGGUAAUACGGAGGGUGCAAGCGUUAUCCGGAUUUAUUGGGUUUAAAGGGUCCGUAGGCGGACUUAUAAGUCAGUGGUGAAAGCCUGUCGCUUAACGAUAGAACUGCCAUUGAUACUGUAAGUCUUGAGUAUAUUUGAGGUAGCUGGAAUAAGUAGUGUAGCGGUGAAAUGCAUAGAUAUUACUUAGAACACCAAUUGCGAAGGCAGGUUACCAAGAUAUAACUGACGCUGAGGGACGAAAGCGUGGGGAGCGAACA